rnacentral:rRNA from 1 species
UACGAAGGGGGCUAGCGUUGUUCGGAAUUACUGGGCGUAAAGCGCGCGCAGGCGGUCUUCCAAGUCAGUGGUGAAAGCCCGGAGCUCAACUCCGGAACUGCCAUUGAAACUGUUGGACUUGAGUACGAGAGAGGUGAGUGGAAUUCCCAGUGUAGAGGUGAAAUUCGUAGAUAUUGGGAAGAACACCGGUGGCGAAGGCGGCUCACUGGCUCGUAACUGACGCUCAGGCGCGACAGCGUGGGGAUCGAAACAAGG